GACCUAGUUGGUUCCACCGCUGCAGAAGCCCUCUCCUUGUGGAAUCGAAAUUUUCCUUCAAGUGCAACACUUCCACAACCAGGCCCUCUGGGAAGCCAUUCCUCUUUGCAUUCUCGACGAUUUCUCCAUCCCUCUGCACCUCAUCCCUCUUUGCAUGCCGUGGAAACCCAUCUAAUCUCACUGUCGAUUUCAACUCUAAAACCCUUAUGGAUGGAAGAAAACCUCAUGAGUCACGCU
rnacentral:misc_RNA from 1 species